GUUUCGCGAUGAUUUACUAGAGCCAACGAAAGAUUUUCACCAGGCGCUAAACGAGGGAGAUAAUUAACGUUUAAAUGAGCGUUUAAUCAACGUCACUUUAGAACAAUAUGAAGCGCUAAGUAUGAGGUACAGUCUAUUCCGGUUUUAAAUGAUAAAUACUUGGAAGGAGAAAUAUCUUUGCCUAUUGGCAAAUGGAAGAUUGGUUCUAGACUACAAAAGCUAGUAGAAACAAUAGACUAAUAAUAUAUAAAUAUCAAUAUCUGUCCUUUUCUUUUCAGAAAAUAGAUCACAUCAUAUUUUUGUACAACACUCUAUAGAAACUCUGUUCAACGUGCAAUUUUCCUAUCACAGGAAAGGCGAGAUUCCAGAGACCACGAAGUCCAAUUAAACAUCCACGUGUUUCUUAAUUAAAGAUCAGCUGGGAAUACAGCACGUAUCCAUUGGAGCGAAGUAAACGAUAUACAAAAGCGACAUUUCGUAGGAUUAAAAGGAGAAGUAACGUUGCGGUUGUCCUCCGUAAAGGAAACAACGUUUUAGCAACCGUCUAAGCCGGUAAAAUUAACCGCAACAGGUGUAAUUUAUACUAGUAAAUUACCGUUUCGAUGUGUGCACUCGGUAUCACGUGAAUGCGUAUAAUUACACGGCACUGUCAGUAUGUACAUUUACGUGCCCGCGAAACUACUCCCAACACACCAAUCAUUGAUCUUUGCCUGCUGGAGGAGAUUGCCGAUAAAACGAUGCUACAAAGUGGAUGUAGAAUAACGGGGAAUAUAUGUUUCGUUUCAUCGGUGCACCAAACUGUAAUCAACGCAAGAUCGUGUCACAUUUUACACGGCAAUCGCGAAGACGUCUGUUGGAGCUCGAUAAAGUAGGACGUUCGAUCCGACAAUGGAAUCGCAAAAGAACGAACCGUAUUGGAGAAUUGCAUUUCCGUUUCACGGGGCGCGGCAAAAGGUGAGUAUACAAUCCAUGAAACGCGAUUUGACGUUGUAUGUCAUCGAGUAUCCCGCUCGUCGCUUGAAAGACCGGCAUUGUUUCAUUAAAAACGACGCCGCAAUCCUAUGCGAGAGGUAUUUCUGCACGAGGUCAGCGAGGAUCUUCGGCCUCUUCUGCUUUCGCAACGACUCGCGACCGACGUCCGCCCACAGGGUCCUCCUUUUCUCGAUCCUGACCUCGUAUGCGAGCUUCAAGCCCGCGUACCUCGUAGACGCUGUCGCGAACGAAUCGUGGCCACGAACAGCAGAGACUAUCGUCCAGUCAAGUUCAAGGAGAAGAACACUCCGGUUCUUCUCUGGCCGAUCGUAUAUAUCUUCGAGGCAUCCGAACGAUUCCCACGAAACUGACGUGAGAAAGGCGCGAAACGAACCUGGAUGAAAUCAUUUUUCAACGGGCAAGAGAGAGAGUGCAUUAUCUUCGUAACGCUGAUUUCAUUCAGACUUUGAAGAAAUUGUAACAGAUAUCGAAGUAAUAAUUUCGCAUAAUUAUAUCGAGCGUUUUUGUUAGGAGAAAUGACAGAUUGACAACGUUACAAGAGAAAUCACUACGGUGAAACUUAAUAUCGGGUAUACAAAGACGAUCGAUGUCGUCGAGUAUGGGGACGUUAAAGCGCAGAAUAACAUCGAUGUAAUGGUGUAAAGUACUGGAGAUAGCCGCGCCGGAUCGUUCCAACUUUGGGCCAGGUUGUAAAUUUCAUAGGAUCUCUGGUGUGUUACGAUAACCGUAUAUAAAAUCAAGGGACAUUAAGUAACGUUACACAAUCGAGGCGCGUCUCGUCACGCAAUAUUUGCAUACCGGUACGAUCGUACUUCCUUCUCGACCGCUGUUUUUGCGAUGACAUAACGCUCUCUCUUCGAGAUACGCGUGUUUUCUCGCGCGCCUAUUUGCCGAGGAAACUCUUCAGCAUCUGUCUGUAGAUUCUUGUCGAGGAAAGGAAAAUAAUCGCGAUAGAGUUAUUAAAAUGUUACGCGAUCGUCGCUCCGCCUUCUUUCAUUCUACUCUUCUCUACCGUUUUUGCGCAAUCGAGCGCUGAAGAUUAUUGCAAAUGCCCGAUUUCCCCGUUCGAUGUUCCCUUUCCUCGCUUCUCGCGAAAAAAUGUAAUUACACGCUGCCGAUAUUGCCUUUCCUGCUGUUCGUUUCUCUCUUCGUUCGUCGCCAUUUUUUUUUGUCUUUUUAAGAAAGAGCAACCACGUAAUUGCACGGUUUGCAUUAAAUUGUUUAUUAACGUGCUACGUGAAUCGUCGAAGGCGACGAUGCUCGCCAAAAGAGAUGUUUCGUGAUUUCGUGCACAAAAGUGGAGUGAAAAUAAAAAUAAAUGGAUGCUGGUAUUGUCUUGAAUUUCGCACAGAUGCUUUUUGUAUGGUUAUGUAAUUGGAAGAAGAAACAUCGACGAUCGAUUUCUGAAACUGGGACGUGUAUGC